rnacentral:tRNA from 1 species
CGUACGUGUAGAAGCCGCGGCCGGACUUCUGGCCGGUCAGGCCGGCCUCGGCCAGCUGCCCCAGGAUCGGGGCCGGGGCGUGCAGCC